UAGGAAAUUGUUCUCCAUUUCAUUUGCUUCAUCAUAAAAUAAUUUAUGCUCGAGGCGCAUCUUAGUUAUAGUAUCAAAUUGUUAUUGGAUUUCUUUUCAGAUCUAUUUCUUCAUCUUUAAGAUAUACGCCAUAAUCGGUUUCACUGAAGAUGUUGCAGGUUUUACAGAUAAUAGUACUGUUAUUUAAGUGGGUGAAAGGCUUGGUUUAUAGAGAACAACUGGCUAAAAUCGCAUGUUCAAAUAACUGUAAGUGUGUAGGAUGUAGGAACAUUGAAGAUUCUAUCGAGAAGAAAAAUAUGAGACACAUGACGACUGAAAAAGCUACAAACACUCCUGCCCUGCCUGACGGCGAAGCGGGAUCCAACAAAGAUAACUCUCAUAUUCGUCAUAGACGCACAUCUGGGGCUA